rnacentral:rRNA from 1 species
UACGAAGGGUGCAAGCGUUGCUCGGAAUUACUGGGCGUAAAGCGCGCGUAGGCGGCUUUGUAAGUUAGAGGUGAAAGCCCGGAGCUCAACUCCGGAACUGCCUUUAAGACUGCAUCGCUAGAACGUCGGAGAGGUAAGUGGAAUUCCGAGUGUAGAGGUGAAAUUCGUAGAUAUUCGGAAGAACACCAGUGGCGAAGGCGACUUACUGGACGACUGUUGACGCUGAGGUGCGAAAGCGUGGGGAGCAAACAGG